UAUUGAAUUAUUUUUUAUUAUAACCACUGUAGAUUUUGCUGUAGUUGUCCCAGGAUCCUUACUGAUAUACUGGGUUGCGUUUUGAUAACACUCUCGUAUAGGUGCUCAGGCUCACUUACUGCAGCGGCCCGGAACAAGGAACUGGGACAGCAGAAACAUAAGGAAGAUAAGAAAGACAGUAGCGGUUUUGCUAAUAGACUCUAAGGUGCACUCGGUUAAGUUCGGAAUUUUUAUUGAAACUACUUUAAAUUAUGAUAAUUUUAUCAUUUUCCUACCUACUCCUUGUAUCUAAGCUUAACAAUACCUACCUAAGUUAUAAUAUCUUUACAGGAAUUAAUAACCCUGCAAAAAUCGGAUUUUCAAAUUUCAUAACGUCCACAGAACUAAAUAGAAGUCUAAAUCUUUGGUGAAUUAAGGAAGGGCGUAGGCAAUUCUGGAUUUGUUUGAAGCAGAGGAUGCUGAACGGUAUAUAGCGGUUGGAGCAAUCCAGGUCUUGACAUUGUGGGGAAGUAAGAGUUCAGGAAUCCGCUCCUUGAAGGAUCUGGAAAUAAUGUAUUGUCAUCUGAUAUUGUAGCAUUGAAUAUCGAAGAUAAAAGUGAAGGUCCCAAAUUCAUCAAUGGAUAACGGAAAUUAUUGUGAAGGAUUAAAAUCUGAUGAGAUUAUGAGAGGCAAUUUAUGCCCGUAAUUGAUUUAAUACAUGGAAAUGUAAUAAUGAGUGCAUAAAAUAUUAUAUUAGUUUUAUAUCUAGU